rnacentral:piRNA from 1 species
UNGACAGAGCUCUGUUCCAGGGUCACCGUG